UGGAGUAGAGUGAGUUGGCUACCAAUAAAUCCUUUCAGCUUCUCUGAAACUGAUUUUCGUUUAUUGUUAAGCUAUUUACGGCUGCUGAAAUGACUCUGUUUCACCAAUGAAGCAGUCACAGCUGACACUCAAAUAUUUUGCCUCUGGAGAUUUUUUCUGUCCAUUGCAGUUGUCAUUGGUAUUGGCAAGGGGACGGCCAGUGAGAUUAUUGAAAGGCUGAAUAUGACUCUGGGCUACAUGCACAAGACAAAAGUUUUUUAAUUAUUUCAGUUCUCUUAUGUAAUUAAGUGAAAAUAAAACGCAGAAGUAUGUGAAAUAACAUGCUUCUAUUUUGAAAUCA